GAUGAACGCUGGCGGCAUGCCUAACACAUGCAAGUCGAUCGGUAAGGCUCUUCGGAGUACACGAGAGGCGGACGGCUGAGUAACGCGUAGGAACACACCCUGCAGUGAGGGAUAAGACACCGAAAGGUGUUCUAAUACCGCAUACGUUCUUCGGAUUAAAGCAUUUAUGCGCUGAAGGAGUGGCCUGCGUCAUAUUAGAUAGUUGGUGAGGUAAUGGCUCACCAAGUCGAUGAUCUGUAGCUGGUCUGAGAGGAUGAUCAGCCAGACUGGAACUGAGACACGGUCCAGACUACUACGGGAGGCAGCAGUGAGGAAUAUUUCACAAUGAGCGAUAGCUUGAUGGAGCAAUGCCGCGUGCAGGAUGAAGGCCCUCGGGUUGUAAACUGCUUUUAUAAGAGAAGAUUAUGACGGUAACUUAUGAAUAAGGGACGGCUAACUACGUG
rnacentral:rRNA from 1 species